rnacentral:rRNA from 1 species
AGCGAACGCUGGCGGCAGGCUUAACACAUGCAAGUCGAGCGGGCACCUUCGGGUGUCAGCGGCAGACGGGUGAGUAACACGAGGGAACGUGCCCUUCGGUUCGGAAUAACUCAGGGAAACUUGAGCUAAUACCGGAUACGCGCUCUUGGGGCAAGGUUUACUGCCGGAGGAUCGGACCGCGUCUGAUUAGCUAGUUGGGGGGGUACCGGCCUACAAAGGCGACGAUCAGUAGCUGGUCUGAGAGGAUGAUCAGCCACACUGGGACUGAGACACGGCCCAGACUCCUACGGGAGGCAGCAGUGGGGAAUAUUGGACAAUGGGCGCAAGCCUGAUCCAGCCAUGCCGCGUGAGUGAUGAAGGCCUUAGGGUUGUAAAGCUCUUUUGUCCGGGACGAUAAUGACGGUACCGGAAGAAUAAGCCCCGGCUAACUUCGUGCCAGCAGCCGCCGUAA